AUUUGAAAGGGUGUGCAUGUUUACUGGACCGCAGUGCAAUUCAUACAACCAACACACCCACAGACUACCAACCAUUUCCGACAUUUACGUUGAGCUUGAUCCUCGGUGAUCAUUUUACUUUGUGAGUUUCAUUUCGGUUCUAAUAUCGUAACGGAAAGCUGUUGACUCGUUGACUCUUGGAAACUCGCACUCGUCGAGUAGAAAUAUCACGUAAGGAGGAAGUCCUGUUAAAAAGAAAACGCCGCAGAAACCUACAAAACUCAAAAUGUCGGAACGAGAAGGGGAAAAUAUGGAAAUGGGUGUGAUUGGAGAAACCUCAUCUAAGGAAGGACUCGGUUGUUGCGGAAUCCUACUGACGGUCUUGUCUGUGAUAAUCGUGAUCUGCACGCUGCCAUUCUCACUUUUUGUCUGCAUAAAAGUGGUGCAGGAGUACGAAAGAGCAGUUAUUUUCAGGCUUGGGCGUCUCUUGUCCGGCGGUGCUAAGGGUCCAGGACUAUUCUUCAUCCUGCCUUGCAUUGAAGAUUACAGCAAGGUGGAUCUUCGUACCAUUUCGUUUGAUAUUCCUCCUCAAGAGAUUCUGACCAGGGAUAGUCUGACCAUCUCUGUGGAUGCUGUGGUCUUCUACCGUGUCAAGAAUGCUACCAUCAGCAUCGCUAAUGUGGAAGAUGCCCCCAAGUCUACCAAACUUCUGGCUCAGACAACUCUUCGGAAUGUCCUAGGCACCAAGAACCUGUCCGAGAUCCUGGCUGAACGUGAAGGCAUCAGUCACUACAUGCAGUCCACCCUAGACCAAGACACCGACCCUUGGGGUAUCCAAGUAGAGCGAGUUGAGAUUAAGGAUGUUCGUUUGCCUGUCCAGCUCCAGAGAGCCAUGGCUGCUGAGGCUGAAGCUUCCAGAGAGGCCAAGGCUAAGGUUAUAGCUGCCGAAGGAGAACAGAAUGCUGCUCGUGCCCUGAAGGAAGCUGCAGAUACUAUGUCGGAAUCCCCAUGUGCUCUUCAGCUGAGGUACCUGCAGACUCUCAACACCAUCUCAGCAGAGAAGAACUCCACCAUCAUCUUUCCUCUUCCUAUUGAUCUCUUGCAAGGCAUCUUGACUAAGUAAUUGAGUCAUUUUGGUUUUGAUGAUCAGUCUUAUUAUGUUUCUCAUAAGAAUAUAUAUUACGUUUUAUUUUAUAAAUAUCUUAACAUCCUAUGAUCUUUCCUCUACCUAUUGAUCUCGUGCAAGGCAUCAUGAAGUAAACAAUCACCAGUGUGCCAGACGUCUUGGAGAUGCAAAGGAGACAUCUAUUUCUCACAAUUAUUGUUAUGCUGUUAUAUGCUAUCCGAUAACUUUAUUUGGGGCACAACUGCCAUUGAUGGAAACAAAAGCAAAAUAAAUCCACAACACUGUUUUUGUGAUUACUAUAAUAUUUUGUACUUUUUGUAGAAUUCGAUUAAUUUAAUGGGUGGAGUGGAUAACUUUAAUUUUUUUAAUAUGUAUUUCUAUCAAUGUAUUUUUAUUGCUGUGAUAUUUCUAUUGCUAUGGUAUUUUGAUAUGAAAUCAUGUUACAGAUGCUAAUACCAGUAAAUUCAAAAUACAUAAGCAGAUCAAACAAAAUAUAACUCAUGUAAAAUCUUAUUUAUUAUCUGUUGAAUUUUUACUUACUUGAUUUUACCUUUUUCCUGUUUAUUUUGAAACAUAAUUAUUAAAAAUCGGAUCAUUUUAUGAAUAAGUUACCCAUUAAUGUUAUUGUUUCAUUAUUGUACUAUUUGGUAGGUCACGAAAAAUACAGCUUUAUUCAUUGCAAUAUUUUUUAUAGAUGGGCCGUUUUGAUUUACAAGCGCCUUCCGAAAAGUUGGAAUGAGCAUAUUCGUUUUUGUAAAUAAUGUUAAGAAUUGGUAAAAAGGAUGAUACAGGAAGUUGUACUAUUCAAAGUAGAUUGAGUACUGUUUUAUCAUAUUGGACAGAUUAUUGGGUAGCACGGAUUUUGUUUCAACUUCGUUGUCUACUGUUUGACUAAUCUUAAACGCAAUUAUGCAUUUAGAAUGGUAAAGCAAAUGAUGCAAACCUUAAGCAAACCUUAAGGGCGUGUAUAAAUUCUAUUAGCAAACAUCUUUUUUAUUUGUUGUACUAUUACGUCAUAAUCUAUACAACUAAUCUCUAUCUUACUCAAAUAUGUAUACCCUCACAAUUAAGAAAUGAUGAGCAAAACCCAAUAAGUACCCACGCAUACUUGAAAUGAUAUAUCGAUACGCCUAGGUCAUGUUAUUGUUAUCAACGUAAUUAUGUGGGUCCAUGAGGCCAAAUUAAUACUCAGUCUUACAGUCUUACAGUCUUACAGGCAUACACUGUUUUUCUAGGUCUUCAAACACCAAAAAGGGGUUUAUGUCCCGUCUACUCUAUUCUGGAAAAGCCCAUAUGUGAAGUUUUUUAUCAGCAUUUCUGUUGUUCUUAAACAUCUAACACCUCUCAUCUCUGUCAGUUCCACACCCUUGCUGUUGUUUCAUACGAUAAAUAAAUGGUAUAUUUAUUACAAGAUGAUUAAGUCUUUGCAACAUUUUGGAGACGAUGAGGUCUGUAAUUGCAUUUUAAAUUGGGCGUUUUCUCUGUUAUGAGAAAUCAUUAUGUUCCCCCAUUUUUGAAAUAAACUUGUACAUCCAUGUUAUUCUUUUGCAUGGGCUUUGCAUGAUUCACGGUUGCUUAGUGUGAUUCCUUACUUAUAUUUCACCCUAAAUAUGUAUUUAUAUUAUAUUAGCACAAGGCCAAGGGUCAAUAACAACAUGACCUUGCCAUUGUAUGUUGCAAUGUUUUUAUCUUUUAUAUGAUCACAAUACCAUUCCUGUAAUAUUUUGUAUUGUUUCUACCAAUUAUGUAAUACUUAUAUUAGUAACAGAAACGUUAGUAUUAUAAUAGUAAUUUAUUUACUAGGACAUUGUUAAUUUCACUGCACCGCACUUCAACAGACGUAUGUUGGUUAAAUAAAUGCAGGUCAGUCUGUAAAAUA